GUCGCUCCUACCGAUUGAAUGUUCCGGUGAAUCCUCCGGAGCUGUGGCAUGUUGUCUAGCAAUAGGCACUUGUUAUGGUGAAGUUGUGUAAACCUUAACAUUUAGAGGAAGGAGAAGUCGUAACAAGGUUUCCGUAGGUGAACCUGCGGAAGGAUCAUUC
rnacentral:rRNA from 1 species